AAUGAAGCGAGUGGCGAACUGGUGAGUAACACGUGGGGAAUUGCCCAGAGGCAGGGGAUAACACUUGGAAACAGGUGCUAAUACCGUAUAACAACAAAAUCCGCAUGGAUUUUCGUUUGAAAGGUGGCUUCGGCUAUCACUUCUGGAUGAUCCCGCGGCGUAUUAGUUAGUUGGUGAGGUAAAGGCCCACCAAGACGAUGAUACGUAGCCGACCUGAGAGGGUAAUCGGCCACAUUGGGACUGAGACACGGCCCAAACUCCUACGGGAGGCAGCAGUAGGGAAUCUUCCACAAUGGACGAAAGUCUGAUGGAGCAAUGCCGCGUGAGUGAAGAAGGGUUUCGGCUCGUAAAACUCUGUUGUUAAAGAAGAACACCUUUGAGAGUAACUGUUCAAGGGUUGACGGUAUUUAACCAGAAAGCCACGGCUAACUACGUGCCAGCAGCCGCGGUAAUACGUAGGUGGCAAGCGUUGUCCGGAUUUAUUGGGCGUAAAGCGAGCGCAGGCGGUUUUUUAAGUCUGAUGUGAAAGCCUUCGGCUUAACCGGAGAAGUGCAUCGGAAACUGGGAGACUUGAGUGCAGAAGAGGACAGUGGAACUCCAUGUGUAGCGGUGGAAUGCGUAGAUAUAUGGAAGAACACCAGUGGCGAAAGCGGCUGUCUAGUCUGUAACUGACGCUGAGGCUCGAAAGCAUGGUAGCGAACAGGAUUAGAUACCCUGGUAGUCCAUGCCGUAACGAUGAGUGCUAGUGUUGGAGGUUUCCGCCCUCAGUGCUGCAGCUACGCAUAGCACUCGCUGGGAGUACGACGCCAGUGAAACUCAAGA
rnacentral:rRNA from 2 species